rnacentral:misc_RNA from 1 species
GAUGAAGAACGUAGCGAAAUGCGAUACUUGGUGUGAAUUGCAGAAUCCCGUGAACCAUCGAGUCUUUGAACGCAAGUUGCGCCCGAAGCCAUUAGGCCGAGGGCACGCCUGCCUGGGCGUCACACGUCGUUGCCCCCCCAUCUACUCCUUCGGGAUUGCGGGGGGCGGAUGAUGGCCUCCCGUGCGCCUCGUCGCGCGGUUGGCAUAAAUGCCAAGUCCUCGGCGACGCACGCCACGACAAUCGGUGGUUGCGAAACCUCGGUUGCCCGUCGUGUGCGGUCGUCGCGCAUCGAGGGCUCGAAAAAAUUGCCGGGCUCAGUUUCGGCUUUCAACGCGACCCCAGGUCAGGCGGGGUUACCCGCUGAAUUUAAGCAUAUCAAUAAGCGGAGGA